rnacentral:rRNA from 1 species
UACGGAGGGAGCUAGCGUUGUUCGGAAUUACUGGGCGUAAAGCGCGCGUAGGCGGCUUUGUAAGUUAGAGGUGAAAGCCCGGAGCUCAACUCCGGAACUGCCUUUAAAACUGCAUCGCUUGAAUCCAGGAGAGGUGAGUGGAAUUCCGAGUGUAGAGGUGAAAUUCGUAGAUAUUCGGAAGAACACCAGUGGCGAAGGCGGCUUCCUGGCCUGUAACUGACGCUGAGACGCGAAAGCGUGGGGAGCGAACCGG